UACGUAGGGUCCAAGCGUUAAUCGGAAUUACUGGGCGUAAAGCGUGCGCAGGCGGUUUUGUAAGUCAGAUGUGAAAUCCCCGGGCUCAACCUGGGAACUGCGUUUGAAACUACAAGGCUAGAGUGUAGCAGAGGGGGGUGGAAUUCCACGUGUAGCAGUGAAAUGUGUAGAGAUGUGGAGGAACACCGAUGGCGAAGGCAGCCCCCUGGGUUAACACUGACGCUCAGGCACGAAAGCGUGGGGAGCAAACAGG
rnacentral:rRNA from 1 species